UGGGCCAUCUUAGCGGAGGAUCGGCGCACCCAGAGCCCUUUGUGAACUUAUACCUAUUGUUGCCUCGGCGCAGGCCGGCCUCUUCACUGAGGCCCCCUGGAGACAGGGAGCAGCCCGCCGGCGGCCAACCAAACUCUUGUUUCUACAGUGAAUCUCUGAGUACAAAACAUAAAUGAAUCAAAACUUUCAACAACGGAUCUCUUGGUUCUGGCAUCGAUGAAGAACGCAGCGAAAUGCGAUAAGUAAUGUGAAUUGCAGAAUUCAGUGAAUCAUCGAAUCUUUGAACGCACAUUGCGCCCUCUGGUAUUCCGGAGGGCAUGCCUGUUCGAGCGUCAUUUCAACCCUCAAGCCUGGCUUGGUGAUGGGGCACUGCUCUCUGACGGGAGCAGGCCCUGAAAUCUAGUGGCGAGCUCGCUAGGACCCCGAGCGUAGUAGUUAUAUCUCGUUCUGGAAGGCCCUGGCGGUGCCCUGCCGUUAAAACCCCAACUUCUGAAAAUUUGACCUCGGAUCAGGUAGGAAUACCCGCUGAACUUAAGCAUAUCAAUAAGCGGAGGAA
rnacentral:rRNA from 1 species